UACGGGGGGGGUAAGCGUUGUUCGGAAUUACUGGGCGUAAAGGGCUCGUAGGCGGCCAACUAAGUCAGACGUGAAAUCCCUCAGCUUAACUGGGGAACUGCGUCUGAUACUGGAUGGCUUGGAUUCGGGAGAGGAAUGCGGAAUUCCAGGUGUAGCGGUGAAAUGCGUAGAUAUCUGGAGGAACACCGGUGGCGAAGGCGGCGUCCUGGACCAACACUGACACUGAUGAGCGAAAGCCAGGGGAGCAAACGGG
rnacentral:rRNA from 1 species